rnacentral:rRNA from 1 species
CGCGUAGGCGGAUAGCACAGUCAGGCGUGAAAUUCCUGGGCUCAACCUGGGGGCUGCGCUUGAUACGUGAUGUCUUGAGUGGGGAUGAGGGUCGUGGAAUUCCCAGUGUAGAGGUGAAAUUCGUAGAUAUUGGGAAGAACACCGGUGGCGAAGGCGGCGACCUGGUCCUUUUACUGACGCUGAGGCGCGAAAGCGUGGGGAGCAAACA